rnacentral:rRNA from 1 species
ACCCGCUGAACUUAAGCAUAUCAAUAAGCGGAGGAAAAGAAACCAACAGGGAUUGCCUCAGUAACGGCGAGUGAAGCGGCAAGAGCUCAAAUUUAAAAGCCGACGUAGCUUUAAGAGACGUCCGCAUUGUAAUUUGAAGAGGCAUUCUCGGGUCGGGGCUCAGGCCUAAGUUCCUUGGAAGAGGGCGUCGUGGAGGGUGAGAACCCCGUUCGCGGCCUGCUGUCGACCUUUCCCCGAUCCACACGAGGUGCCAUCGAAGAGUCGAGUUGUUUGGGAAUGCAGCUCAAAGCGGGUGGUAAAUUCCAUCUAAAGCUAAAUAUUGACGGGAGACCGAUAGCGAACAAGUAGAGUGAUCGAAAGAUGAAAAGCACUUUGAAAGAGAGUUAAACAGCACGUGAAAUUGUUGAAAGGGAAGCGCUUGAGACCAGUCACGGACCGAGGCGAUCAGUGGGACGUCCCUCUCGGGGGAGGAACCGCGCACUCGCUUUUCGGGUUUUCCGGGUCAACAUCGGUUGGGACGGUGUCAGAAAGGUCGCGGGAACGUGGCUCCCUUCACGGGGAGUGUUAUAGCCCGUGGCGUCAAAGUCGCCAGUUUCGACCGAGGACCGCGCUCGUCUUUUUCGAGCAAGGAUGUUGACGUAAUGGUCCC